rnacentral:lncRNA from 1 species
GUUUUGUUUUUACAAGUGUCUGCUGCCCCAUCUGCCCUGCAUAGAAAAGUGCUCAUUGGAGCAGCCCCCCAACUCCAAACCUCUCUUCCAAGGAGUAAUGUGUCUUCUGCUAGAUCCGGAUGUGCAGCUCACAUGUCGUGCUGGAUGUGCUUGUCAUUUCCACUUAGUGCUGGAGUAAUGCCUCUGCUGGUCUCCCCACCUGAUCUUUUUUUAAAACAGCAUAGCCCAAGCUACAUUUCUUUUGGUUCCCAAAAAGGAUUUAAUAAUCACAGCGGGAUCUUUGCCACAACUGUGUGAAUUUGAGUAUUCCUGAAUUAUUCUUGAAGUCCAGACUAGUUGAGAGGAAAUUUAGAAUAAGAAGAACUACCUGGAGAAGUCACAGAGGGCCGAAUUUUUGCUUUAAGGGAAAUGGAGAUUAGCUGUAACUGAUGAUCAAGCCUCGUCCUGUUCCAUCUGCAUUUGAGAAAAUACCACACGGGUUUAUAACAAAUAGGAGGCAUGUUUGCUCAAGAGGCUCUGGGGUGAAACUAUCUAAUGGUGAUGAAAUAGUGCAACAGCCCCUGUGGUUCUUAUUCUUGAAACUCUAAGAGGUCAGACCUGAAGCUACAUGGGUCAUACUGCCCAGUUGAGGCGACAGUCUUUCCUUCUGAGCCCUGCUGGAGAGGAACCCAUUUCCUCAAGGCGGGGGGGUAGAGGGUGGGGGUGGUGGGGCUUCCAGGCUGUGCAGUUAUCCAUGUUAGUGACCUCAUCCCUGGUCCAUCCGGGCACCCAUUUCACUUGGAAUAGGCCGGAAAGCAGCCCAGGGCCAGCUUCUGUCCUCUUGGGAGUGAGCCUUGCAACAGAGACCUCGCCAUCCUGGAAGAGCUGUUUUUUCCAUGUCACUUUAGAUGUCACCUAAAGCAGUGAGACACUUGAGAUGUUCAGGUGGUAAAUUGGGAAGCAUUGGCUGCAGUCCAUAAAAGCUACUGUUGUCUGUUGAUUAGGUGGCUUGAGAUCACCACAGUCCCUGGCAAGCUGAAGAUUUUAGGCUCUCCUUUAAAGGCCAGAAGCCUUCUACUUCUGCCCCUACAAAGGCAGCUGCACAUUUUGGCCAUAGCUGAUAACCUUUCGGGGAUGUGAGAAGCCUAAUCAGAACAUUUGAGAAAAUGAUACCUCUCACCUUCAGAUUCAUCAAAUAGUUUGUCCUCUUAGUCCCCUUAAAAAAUUAACAAACAAACAAAGAAAGAAUGCCAUUUGGUUGGAUUUGGACAUGCUCCUUGAGCUGAGGCUACAGUCACAUGAUUAUGAGUCUGCAAUAUGAAGCUUUCUAAGUGGAAAAAGCAUGUCUCUCCCCUGAAGCUUUGUUUAUAGUGAAGAUUUAUGGAGCUUUAGUUGUCUGAAAAAAUGAGACGGUCCACUUGAAGGGGAGCUCAGAGGGAUGCUACAUUAACUCAGAAUUCACACCAGGAAGGAUUCUGCUGGAGAAGAAAGUGCCUUUCGACAAAAAAAGCAAGAUUAAUAUCUAAAAGGUAGACAGGCAUUUCUUCUGUUCCUCCACCAAUCAGUUGUUUAAUAAUUCUAGGUUUCCUUUGGUUUACAGUCUCAGUUCUUAAUCCCACAAAGAGGUCCCUAGAACACCAAAAGUGUCUAAAACCCUGGAGGUUGGCUUUAAAAGAUACAAAAUCGGUAGCAUUGUUACUUUCCAAGUUCACCAUUUUGAUGUGCUGCCCAUCCUUCCACACACUUUGCAGCCAGGCCAGAUGUGAAGACUGUAUUCAUUGACUUAAGGAACAUAAAUUCUGGUUCUGGAACAAUUACCUGCCAAAUCGCCUACUGCCUGUGGAAGUUAUCUUUGGGGUAUACCUUUCAGAGAACAUUUUGACAAUUUAGUAAAAUUGUUGUGGGCUUGAGGGCCCAAUCAGGCAUUUAGAUCAAAAUUGGAAGUCUUUGGGCCUCCUUAGGGAAAUAGCAAGAUGGCUAAAUCCCAGUGCUCAGCCUUGAGACUGUAUGUCCCAGCCCCCACCCCCAGUAUGGGGUGAAGUGCCACCUUCAGGAAACCACUUUUCCAGUGAGAUUGUCUAUAAAUCCCAACUUGAAAAUGGUAGCCUCUGUCACGCUCUUUAUUGUCCCGUUGUGGGGGAGAGAAAAAAAGCUUUUCAGGGUUAAACCUUGGCCUCUAACCUCUUUGUUGGGGAAAAUGUAUCACUAACAAAUUAUCUAAAGAUCCAGCGGCGUAACAGAUAAUGACUUGUGCCUAGGAAGGUAGAGGCUGAUAGUCAAGACACCCACAAACCAGAAGGGUCUGUCCCACAUACAGCCUCCACAGGGAACAGAUCUGAAGUUAGGUUUUGGAGAACUUCCAAGGCAUUGAAAUGAAGGGAGGACUUCAAGGGCCUUUGCUCAGGCAAGUGGGCAGCUUGUAUUCCUCCCAAGAACGUGAAGCUCCAAUGGGAAUGGCAGCCAUUGAAGCCACAGCCUGCAGACAGACCUUCCCUUUUGCUGCUUCUCACAUAGCUUAUGCAUUUUUUGCUCAGAAUCCAAGGGGACCUUCCUCUCUAAAAUCUCAUUUGCUUCAGGUGUUUUGUUUAGCCCCUGAGAACCUCCCCCUGUCACUCCCACCUACAAAUGGACAUAGAUGUUUUGCUCGGGACACAGAUGCAUGAGUGAGUCCAGGGCCCAGCAGCACACGGUUGUGUUUAGUGGUUAGUAAAACACUUGGUCCACUCUAUAACAGUAUGUGGUGCAGUUUUUUCACAUCAGGUCUGUUUUUAUUAUUUUGUGGUCUGAAAACUUUCAAACUAGUUUAUCCAAGAAAAGGCAGAUGGUUAGAAUAAGUAAAAUUUAGUUAGUUCCUAAGAAGGAAAGAUAGCUGCCAGUUUGCCAUGUGCUUAAGGAAGUCAGGAGCAUUUGAGGAUGUUGGGAACUGUUGUAAAAAUAAAGCAAGUGGCUCUAGCCUACCCAAGUGUAUCAGAGAGAAUAUGGAAGCCGGUUCAUAGCAUGUUUAAAUUUGCUCUGGCCAACCCCACCUUCAUUUCAAGGACCUUACCUCCCCUCCUCUACAAUGACAUUGGUAGAAGAUGAUCUCUGAGGAGGCACUGAGGCCCCAGCUCCGUUUGCUGGGCUGUAGGAUGUGGCCUCUAAACAGUCUGAGGGUUUUGUUGUUUUUUUUUUUUUUUUUAAGGGAUUUCCUCACUGUGAUUCCCUCCACGUCACUCAUCUACCAUCAGCAUCCGAAAGGUGAAAAUCCCUGGGACCAUUCCAGUUCUGAAACAGAUGAACUAGAUGUGCUUCCUCCCCUUUUGCAAGUGUAUUGUCCAGAUGCAGUCUCCCUUUGGCCGAGUUCAACUGGUAUUUCCAGAGAACCCCCCUAAAUUGAGGCAUGUAGCUAAAAUGUUUUGACUUUUUUCCCCAGAGGACAUCGUCUUUGUCCCUUCCCCCUAGUGCUCAUACAUUUUAGCUGAGUCUUAAAACAUCAAGUCUGAUAAUGUCUCCAGAAGUGAGAUAAGAGCUGGGGGCCCAUGCCCCCAGGGACCAGUCCCCUGGGGGAACCCACAUGCUCUAACCAGACUGUUUUGAUCCUACCAGAAGUCUGCUGUUGUCCCCUUCCAUCAGGGCUGCCUAGAAAAGCAGACGACUUACCCUUCCUGUCAUUAGGUCACCGGAGUCCUUUGGUGACCAUUCUACAGAGUGAGUGUAUGUGUAUCACCUGCGUAGGCGGUGUGCCUCCUGUUUGUUAGAAAGGGUAGAAAGUGGAACACCCAAUGGGCUGAGUAUUCAUAUCCUUGGCAAGGUUGGCAGAAAUAACCCCCGUGAGCUCAACAAAACUGAGGAAACUGAGGGACAGCACUUGUAUGGAAGGAGUUGGUUAUGGUCCUUUUACCUCUUGCGACCUGAUGCUGCAGCUUGAAACUGGGGUUUGGAAUAAUAUCACCCUUAGCCCAAUCCAAAUGCACUCCAGGACUUUGAAGCUUCCAACCCAUGGCUGUAGGGACUUAUUUUCCAUUUUUUGUUUCCAAAACAGCCUUGCUUGGUAUUGCAUGGAAAGUUCCAGUUU